rnacentral:rRNA from 1 species
UAAAACGUAGGGGACAAGCGUUAUCCGGAUUUACUGGGCGUAAAGCGCCCGUAGGCGGCCUUGAAAGUUGGAUGUGAAAGCUCCCGGCUUAACUGGGAGAGGUCAUUCAAAACUGUGAGGCUAGAGGCUGGAAGAGGAGAGCGGAAUUCCCGGUGUAGUGGUGGAAUGCGUAGAGAUCGGGAGGAACACCAGUGGCGAAAGCGGCUCUCUGGUUCAGCCCUGACGCUGAGGGGCGAAAGCGUGGGGAGCGAACGGGAUUAGAUACCCCGGUAGUCCACGCUGUAAACGAUGGAUACUAGGUGUAGGCGGUCAUUAACCCCGUCUGUGCCGUAGCCAACGCGUUAAGUAUCCCGCCUGGGGAGUACGGCCGCAAGGUUA